GAUGAACGCUGGCGGCGUGCUUAACACAUGCGAGUCGAACGAUGAAGCCCAGCUUGCUGGGUGGAUUAGUGGCGAACGGGUGAGUAACACGUGAGUAACCUGCCCUUGACUCUGGGAUAAGCCUGGGAAACUGGGUCUAAUACUGGAUAUGACUUCUCAUCGCAUGGUGGGGGGUGGAAAGAUUUAUUGGUCUUGGAUGGACUCGCGGCCUAUCAGCUUGUUGGUGAGGUAAUGGCUCACCAAGGCGACGACGGGUAGCCGGCCUGUGAGGGUGACCGGCCACACUGGGACUGAGACACGGCCCAGACUCCUACGGGAGGCAGCAGUGGGGAAUAUUGCACAAUGGGCGCAAGCCUGAUGCAGCGACGCCGCGUGAGGGAUGACGGCCUUCGGGUUGUAAACCUCUUUCAGUAGGGAAGAAGCGAGAGUGACGGUACCUGCAGAAGAAGCGCCGGCUAACUACGUG
rnacentral:rRNA from 1 species